GCGACGAGCGCAACCCUCGCCUUUAGUUACCAUCAUUUAGUUGGGUACUCUAAAGGAACCGCCGGUGAUAAGCCGGAGGAAGGUGGGGAUGACGUCAAGUCCUCAUGGCCCUUACGCGCUGGGCUACACACGUGCUACAAUGGCAACUACAGUGGGCAGCAAUCCUGCGAGGGUGAGCUAAUCUCCAAAAGUUGUCUCAGUUCGGAUUGUACUCUGCAACUCGAGUACAUGAAGGCGGAAUCGCUAGUAAUCGCGGAUCAGCAUGCCGCGGUGAAUACGUUCCCAGGCCUUGUACACACCGCCCGUCACACCAUGGGAGUUGGAUUCACCCGAAGGCGUUGCGCUAACUCGCAAGAGAGGCAGGCGACCACGGUGGUU
rnacentral:rRNA from 1 species